AGUUUUAUAGUCAAAAAAUGAUUUUAAAUUGCAAAUUUAAAGGUAAAGUCUAACUUUUAAAGCUU
rnacentral:tRNA from 1 species